rnacentral:rRNA from 1 species
UACAGAGGAGCCAAGCGUUGUCCGGAUUGACUGGGCGUAAAGCGCACGCAGGCGGAUGCGCGCGUGGGGUGUGAAAUCUGGCCGCUUAACGGCCAGGCGCCAUCCCAUACGGCGCGUCUGGAGUGAUGCAGAGGUCGAUGGAAUUGCCGGUGUAGUGGUGAAAUGCGUAGAGAUCGGCAGGAACACCCAGGGGGAAACCAGUCGACUGGGCAUCUACUGGCGCUGAGGUGCGAGAGCGUGGGGAGCGAACCGG